rnacentral:sRNA from 1 species
UAAAAAUUAAAAAUUCGGAAAAAAAAAAAUUUUUUUUCGAAAAUUUGGAAAUUU